GUAUCUGCACCAGAGGAACCAUCGUUACCUCAGCAAGGACCAACAGAACAGCCCAAGAGAUGAAACAGCCCAAGAGAUAAAACAGCCCAAGAGACAAAACUGCUGGAGCAGGGUCAUUAAGUCUGGAAAAGAACUCCAAGACCAACCCUGUUGUCACUGCAUCUAACAACCCCCCUGGACGUGGAGAUGCUGUGCCCAUGACACAGGGAUGGAACACAACCACCAAAAUUCGGAUUUAAUUGUCCUAAACCUGCUCCCACAGUCGCCUGACCGGGCUCUGAUGAGCCAAAAAAAAAGCCACGUUGUGGCACAGGAUCAGCCAGGCCAGUUCCAAAUCCACCCAGAGCUGCUGCAGCUCUGGAAGGUGAGGAUAUAAACACAGUGGGGUUGUUGUUAUCCUGGUGGAUUGGGAAGAAGGUAAAACCAAGGAGCUAAGGGCUGUACUAAUUGGCUUAAGGGUGUGGUUUACUCUCCACUAAAGAAUCCAAGUUUCUAGAGCUUUAGGAAGAAAAAUAAUCGCUCUUUCUACCAGCAGGUGCUGCCCAUCCCCAGCCAGGAUCUGAGACUAAACCGAGCCCUGCUCUGAGCCAGAACGAUCCUUCUGGGAACGGAUCCAUCCCUGUGGUUCCAUCCCCUCCUGUCCCUCUGCCUUCCCCUGCACGCACAGCCUUUCCAGGGCACCACAAGAGGGAGCAGCCAGUCACUCCAUGCUUGGGAGAUGCACAGAUUCCCUCGGGACAGAUCUUUAGGACACACAGUUGUCACUCUCAUGCAUUAAAUCCCAAGUGAGGACCUUGUGCUUC